AUGUCUGCUUUGGAUCCUAAUAAGCUAAUGUGGGCCCUGUGGAGAAUGCCUCUUUACUGGGCAGGUUGGGGGCCCAGGACCAGGUCACGUGGCUAUUCCCCUAAGCCCACACAUGCAUCUUUCCGUGGCAGGAAAAGCCUAUCUGGGAAGGAGCUGCCCACCAGGGAGAACCAGGGGCUGGGAGCCUUCACCCCAGGACCGGAGACAUGGCAGGUUGAAUUUGUAACCUUGUUGCCUCAGGAUCUAGGAAAAAGAGACCACAAGACAGCAAAGUUGGUAAGUGUGAGCCAUAGAAGGUUGGAGAGAGGAGCAAGGUUGCUCCCCAGUGAGGGUCUUGGCCCCUCUCCCUUCUCUUCGGAGAUGGCAUGUUAUUAUAAUUCCUCCAGGCUCAGGGAUGAAGAAGUGUCCUCAGUUCUCUCCCUCAGGGGAACUGGAAUGAGGCAGAGGAGGUGGAGCAAAAACUUGAGGACAGCCAUGUGCACCUGCCGGUUCCCGGAAGCCAAGCAACAGAGACCCAUUUGCACACAGCCAUGGCCUCUCCACAUGCUCACCCACCACCCCAGGGGAGUUGGUGGCUGGCGCCUCCCUUCCUGAAUUUUUUUCUUGCAUGUUGAUUUUCCUUUAGCUCUGGGUGCGAGAAUGCUCUCAGGUACUGUAUUACAAUGAUGUGCUUCCUCUCAGCUCACACACAGGGCCAGAUAUUUGUCAAUUUCGUUGUUCUUUCAUUCACGUAUAUAUUAAUCAGUCAGUCAACAAGUGCUAAUUGAGUACAGGCAUUGGGCUGUUCCGAUUCUUCUUUUUAAGUUUCGUGGUCACUGUUUAUGGACACUAGACAACAUUGUCUUUGAAAGACCAGAGAUGCACUCUGAGGUCCUGUGGUGGCCAGGAAGGCUUUGGCCAGUCAGUAGGGGAGGGCGAGCAAGUGGGUUUCCCCACUUCCUUGGACUCUUCUCUUUGCAAGUUGGAACCUCUGAUGUGAACAUUUCUUGCUACAGGGUAACUCUACUCCUGAGAACCAAGAAGGCUGGUGACAGGAAAAUGCCCCCCUGAAGCUGGCUGGGGAUCUCACUUAGGGGCGACAUAAAGUGAGGAGUGUGCUGCCAAAUGUCCCUGAUUCUUUCUCCCCAAACUAACAAGAUCUUAAUGAAGCUUCACUCCGGCAGACAAUACAGGGAUAAGCUAACUGCCAGUUGCUGGGGGGCUUCUAGAGGCCAAGGCUUUAACAGCCACCAUCCAGUCAUGGGAAGGCUAGGAUUGGGAAGUGGAAUUGUAUUGCCAAAGUGGAUGCUUUUGAGAGUUAAAGAGGUGCUAUUAAUACAUAUAAAGGAAUAACAGCUGUAAACCAGAACUGUCUCAGGCAAACUGCGAUAUACGAUCACCCUUUCUAGAAUGGUGUUUUUCAGAAGCAAUCUGCAAUGAAAAAACAAUGUAGUCUGCUUUUCGGAAUGUAACUCAGAACUCCUGCUGACUAACAGGAAUCCUCCCAGACAAAUCUGGCUCCUCCUUCCAUUUCCCCCAGAGCACAGAGCAAGAGCACCGCCCCAGACACUGCUGGGUUGGGGCCACUUUGUAAAGCCACUCUGGACUUCCAGGACGUGCACAAGAUGCGUGCAGUGCUCCCCCGGGGAAGGAGCCACCAGCCUGGAAUCUCAGGGACUCUUUGAAGAUGUGCAGGCAGGACGGAGGAAAUUCUUGCCGCUCGGUGGGGUCAGAACACGGGCCUUUGCUCCACACUGACAUUUCCUUCAAAGGUCAAGAAUGAGUUUGGGCUUUGUAGCUGUUUUGCCAAAAUAUGAUUUAGGGGAAGUUCCAAGCCCGGAGAUUCAGUUUUUAAGUCUGCUGUCUCCUGUUUCCAGGCCACGGUGCAUUCACUGAUAGUAUUUUUAGAAGAGGACCUUUGACAAUGGAAAGGCAGGUAUGACCGCAGGGUGAUUCACUGGCUGUGCCUCUGCACUGUCUGUCUUGGGGGCUGGGCAUGAGGUCCCGGACGUGUGUGGAUCACAGAGGGGCAUGGGCUGGUACCAUGGAGCAGGCAGGAACCCAGAGCACUAUAACUGCGCCGUGAGCUCUUAGGUAGACCAGAGAGGUGAGGCAGGAACCUGCAAUUUGGAUGUACUUGCAGAGCUGGGAUGGCACUGACACAGCCUCCUGUGUCACCGCUUCCAUCUCUGUGCGUGGGUCAGAAUGAGUACCAAAACACACGCAGGAUCAUGACCCACCUCCCACCUGCCCCCUUGCCUUGCCGUCAAGCCUGACUGCCGAGACGCCACGUGUGUAGUUCUAUGUGUGCUUGGGUACUCAAUAGAGAGACAGCUGAGAUCUGCUCAGCUUUCUGCUUCCAACAAAUGUCCCACCUUCUGAGACUUACCAGAUGCAAAACCCAGAAUUCUCCUCCUAGUGAGAGGGAGCUGCCCUGCAGGAAUGGCCAGGCACUGGCUGACCCUCCGGGCUGAGGCGAUGACAACCAGGAAAGAUUUUCCAUGCCUUUUUUGUUCUACAAAAGAAAAAAAAACAGGAAGACUGAAAGAACGGUUUAUAAUUGAUUCUUAAUAAGGAAGGAUAAUUAAACGAAUAAUAGUGCUAACGAUAACAAUUACUAGAUGCAGUAGUGAAUUUCUUAAGUGCAGCAUUUCAGCUAAUCCUCACAAGGGCCUCUGAGGGUGAUAUCAUUGCCUCCAUAUUUGAGGUGGGGAAACAGAGGCAGAGAGAGGCUGAGUUGCUUGCCUGACAUCGCACUGCUGGGAAGUGGCGCCAGUGUGGGAGCUGCCCUGGUUCAUGUGGGACACAGGGACAAUGACAAUUGGCCACACAAGAAUGUCCUUGGGCUCCCACUCCCAAAUCCCACAACUUCCCCUGUGUUUCUCUCUAUCCUUUCCCUUUUCUUUUCUUUUUUUUUUUUUUUUUUUUGAGACGGAGUCUUGCUCUGUCGCCCAGGCUGGAGUGCAGUGGCCAGAUCUCAGCUCACUGCAAGCUCCGCCUCCCGGGUUCACGCCAUUCUCCUGCCUCAGCCUCCCGAGUAGCUGGGACCACAGGCGCCCGCCACCUCGCCCGGCUAGUUUUUUGUAUUUUUAGUAGAGACGGGUUUCACCGU
rnacentral:lncRNA from 1 species